UUCCAGACUCCUACGGGAGGCAGCAGUGGGGAAUAUUGGGCAAUGGGCGAAAGCCUGGCCCAGCAACGCCGCGUGAAGGAAGAAGGCUUUCGGGUUGUAAACUUCUUUUACCAGGGACGAAGGACGUGACGGUACCUGGAGAAAAAGCUCCGGCUAACUACGUGCCAGCAGCCGCGGUAAUACGUAGGGAGCAAGCGUUGUCCGGAUUUACUGGGUGUAAAGGGCGUGUAGGCGGAGACGCAAGUCAGGAGUGAAAUCCCCGGGCUCAACCCGGGAACUGCUUUUGAAACUGCGUCCCUUGAGUAUCGGAGAGGCAGGCGGAAUUCCUAGUGUAGCGGUGAAAUGCGUAGAUAUUAGGAGGAACACCAGUGGCGAAGGCGGCCUGCUGGACGACAACUGACGCUGAGGCGCGAAAGCGUGGGGAGCAAACAGGAUUAGAUACCCUUGUAC
rnacentral:rRNA from 1 species